UACGGAGGGGGCUAGCGUUGUUCGGAAUUACUGGGCGUAAAGGGCGCGUAGGCGGCCUGCUAAGUCGAACGUGAAAUCCCCGGGCUCAACCCGGGAACUGCGUCCGAUACUGGUAGGCUUGAAUUCGGGAGAGGGAUGCGGAAUUCCAGGUGUAGCGGUGAAAUGCGUAGAUAUCUGGAGGAACACCGGUGGCGAAGGCGGCAUCCUGGACCGACAUUGACGCUGAGGCGCGAAAGCCAGGGGAGCAAACGGG
rnacentral:rRNA from 1 species